rnacentral:lncRNA from 1 species
AUGAAUCUUCAUCCCUGUACUCAAUACAGCAAUAUCAUCAGAAAGAUGGCUGUCAACACAAAUUGUAUGGAAAACUUCAGGGUUGGAACACUGUCUAGGAGCAGGAGGGCUGAGGAAAAGGCAUGGAAGGAAGAGGAAGAACAGCAAAUCAUCAGGGUAUUUGAGGUAAAUGUCAGUGCUGGUACAGAGAAAUGUAUUUGUCAUUAAGCUCUGCUGACAUUUUCUCUUUGAAGAUCUUUCUUACAGUUGGUUCUGGUCUGGACAUAUGUCUGUCAUUUGGGACUUGUGUUUUUCAAGACAGCCAUUUUCGUUGGCUGACUGUGCUUUUAAAUGCCUCAUUUUUAAGUUUUGGGGGUUUUUUUGUUGGUUUUUUUUUCCCCCUGAGGUGAAGAACAAAUUUGAGAAAACACAUUGAUUUUUCUAUAUGACAAAAGAUUUGUGACGGCUGUGAGGCUGAAGGGGAAUUAAGGCUUCCAGGAUUUGAAUGGUGACUAAACAUUUGGCAGAAAGAUGAUACAAAAGGUACAAAAGGUAUUCCUCCUUAUCAUCUUGUGAAAAUUUUCCUGUUUGGCCAAUCUACCCCUGUAUGAAAAACAUGUUUGCAUGUAGUAAUGUGUUUUUUUAUAGCUCCAAAUUUUACCAGGUCUUUCUUUCACAGUAACAGAAUUUCAUGUACAUCCUACAUCCUGUAAAAUAUUACAAUAUAAAAUUAAUAGUGCAAGCUAUCUGCUUGACUGUUUUCUCUCUUAGUUGCAGCAGCCAUGCAUGGUUUGCCUCAGAUGUC